CCUGGCGGCUUUAGCGCGGUGGUCCCACCUGACCCCAUGCCGAACUCAGAAGUGAAACGCCGUAGCGCCGAUGGUAGUGUGGGGUCUCCCCAUGG
rnacentral:rRNA from 2 species